rnacentral:ncRNA from 1 species
UGGCGUAACGACUUCUCCGGUGUCUCAACCAAGGGCCUCGCGAAAUUGAAUUCUCGGUGAAAAUGCCGGGUACCCGCAGAAAGACGGAAAGACCCCGUGAACCUUUACUGUAGCUUGGCAGUGAUUUUAGAGUUUGAAUGUGUAGGAUAGGUGGGAGCCUUUGAAGCCUGGUCGCCAGAUCAGGUGGAGGCAACCUUGAAAUACCACCCUUGCAAACUUUGAAAUCUAACCUGCUCCUCUUACCGAG